UAUUAAAGAAAAUAUAUAAUGCAUAUUUAAUUAUGUUAUCAUAAUAUGACGCAUAUAUUGUUGACAAAGCAUUACUAUCAAUUGAACUCGGCUCAGAAUCGUUUUUAGUAAGCAAUGGUUUAUCAUUGCCUAAUUAUUUUGAUAUGCAAGUAUUAAUUGUAGUUAUUUUCAUUUUCGUAUAGUUCUAUUAUAAUUGUAUGUAACACG